GAGUUACUCAUGGGGGUCAUGGUGCACUCUUCAAGAAUUCUCAUGGAGAAACUCUAAAAAAUAAUGCUACUCAGUACGAGGCUCACGACUACAUUGCUGUUUCUGUCUAUCAUAAACUUGAUAGGCAACACUUCAGCAUGCUAUACUUAGUACAAAAUUAACACUCGUACCCAUGAGUAACAAAUAGUUGUUUUACUUACACGCAAUGCAAUGUAAAAACUAGCUUCUUUCCGAUUGGAAGUUCAGCGAUGUUGAUGGUUUCUUGUUUUCAUGGUUAUAUGGGACGGAAUGAUUGCCCAUUAACGGCGUGUUACAAUUUGCAUGCCUCCCACAUCGCAUAAAACAUACUCCUUACGCUGCCAUCAUGUCGCGGCUUUCCAGUGUUUGACAUGGCUUGGGUGAAACUGAGUGAGGUGUAUAACAAAGAUCUAUGACGGUUGUGUAUCUUUCACGAGAGUAUCAGAGCAAUCCCGCAACUUAUACAUUGUCUACUACUACAGUAUUUUACAUUCAUAAAAUAUUCUAUGAAAACGCCUCACUUGACAUUGUUGUAUUGCAAAAAAGUGCAUUCUUGAUUAAACAAAAUCAUCAUAAUAAACGAAAUAUUCCACAGAAGGACAAAAGAAAACUCUAACCCGAAAAACUAGAGGUGUGCGAAUAUAAAAUUUUCGGAUAUGAAUCGAAUACGAAUAGCAUGUAUAGAAUAGCGAAUCGAACAGUCAAAUGUCGACGCAUGUAUUUAUUGCAUGAAUACUUGUUUUAGUAUAGUUAGGCACCACGCUUUUAUGGACUAGUGAAAAAACGUCAGCCAGAUAUCACGGUCAAUUAAAAUCGGUUUUAAACACAAGAUUCUUAAUUGUCAAUGAAACAACUGCAGGAAUAGCCUCUCAACAUGGCUGUUUGCAAACAUGCUUUCCGCGAAUGAAUGGCUGCUUCAUGACUAGCUUGCUGAAAACACUAAAGGAGUGGUUGUCAAGUUAUCACAAGUUGUGGCAAAAGAAAAGAUGAAGUGCUGAAGGACUACUCUGCCAUAGACACAUUGAUCUGUGGACCGCAGCUACUCAUGUGUGUUGCCUACACGCCUUCGACUGCUACCUGAAGUGGCACGUUCAAAUGCUGCUGUGAAGUGAAAUAUGGCGUGUUUUUCUAGUGUCCGCCCGGAAAGCCGCCGGCUAACUCUCCACCGAGGCCGCCUCCAGGAACCAGUCCACCGGGCCGACCCUCCGAGAAGUCUCCGGGUACCCGUCGAAUGCC